UGAAGUUUUCUUUUUGGAAAUACUCCCAUAUACAGGUUGAAGGGUUACUCAGAAUUCAUACACACACACACUGUCUGAACUGCUUGUCCCAUUCAGGGUCACGGGGGGCCGGAGCCUAACCCGGCAACACAGGGCGUAAGGCUGGAGGGAGAGGGGACAAACCCAAGACAGGACGCCAGUCCAUCGCAAGGUACCCCAAGUGGGACUCGAACCCCAGACCCACCGGAGAGCAGGACCCCCCCCCCCCCCCAACUCGUGCAUACUGCAGUAAAUAAGUUUACACCGUUUUUCUUGUACAGGACACAUCAGUUCAAUGCGGCGGAAGCUGAACUUGAAAAAACAGCUGAAAGGUAAAAAAGUGCUAUAAGAGACUGGAAAGGGUUCUGUCACGGGUUGAAAAUCGAGUUCCUCCCAGUGCCGACUAGGACUUUGUCUCUAAAUUAUGUCAAGAUGUUAUUAAUGUUGAUGGAGCAGUGUUUUUUUUUGUGAUCAAAAUAUUAAAUGGAAGAAAUAAUUUCCUUUUUUCCCAAUAAUCAAAGGUAGGAUAUUUGUUCUUGUCGGGGGGUCUUUAUGGGCUCCUAUAAAAUGAUCGGUUAUUACUACACAUAAGACAGAGUAAGAGCUUUGGAAUGAACAACACGUCCGCUCCCUCGCCAGAACUCAAGCGAAAAUAAUUCCACUUUUGGGAAUAGGCAAUGAGUCAACGGGAGGACACGGCCUCAGCGCUCGGGUUGGUGCGUGUAGUAGUGCGUAGCUGAGAUUAACACUUACAAGUACAAGAACAGCUUGAGCACGCAGCGGUGCACAGUGCGAUAAGAGGCCUUAAACACAGCCAAGCGCCGCCCAGCCUCUUUAUUUUGGAAGGCCACGAGAACGUUCUGAUGUUUUGAACAAAGGAAGGACAUCUUUGUAACUUUUAUAUGUAAACUUUUCAACUCUGUAAUGCUUAAAUGCCCUGCUGUCGAAAAGGGAAGGACUCACGAAGUUUGCGUUUAAGGAAUCCCACAGAGGCUCGGAGGAGAAUGUGUUCAAAUCCCCUUUUCUCCCCCACGUGAGCAAUAUUUCAGCAUCGACGGGCCCCGCGGGGGCAAUCGGGAAGUUUAGUGUUUUCCUUAAUCAACGUCCAGUUCUCUUUGACGCAGAAGGCGCUCCUCGUGUUCCCGAGGACAGAACAAAGAAUUUUUUAACGCGCUCAGCUGUACGUAUUACGGGGACCGUACCUCCUCGUGCCGCCCGUACAGAACGGAGCUCGUGUGGCGCUCGGCUGUUUUUCUCUCCGCGCUGGCUCUCUCGCCGAAUCACGUCCGCCUCUCCGGCACAAAAUCAGGCCCACAUGUUAAACCGAUGGCUUGUUUUCCGAGUCAUGUCAGAGCGGAGUUACAAAAACAGCUCGGUCUCAGAGUACGGUGCGCUGGGGGCAAAGGGCUACCCUGUGAUGGACUGGUGUCCGUUCCAAGGUGCACCCUUCUUAGCCCUGUGUCCUGCGCUUCCAGCAUAGACUCCUGAUCACUACGACCUUGAGCAAGUGCUGAAUGAUGUUGUAGGAAAGCCAACGGAGAGCGAUAAGGAGGGAAGACACAUGAGAACGCUUUGGCAGGUAAGCACAACUCGUACUGCUGCAUUCUGAAGACAGGUCUGAGUGCUUUUGGCAGUUACUUUUCCAAGUAAUUCAUCCAACUUGCAUUAGACCAACUGUUACUGUAUCUGUGUUGCUACAGACAGAUGACCAGGAAACUCUCCCUGCCCUGUGGAUGCAAUGGAAUUUUUAUUGUCAUAUAAACAUCGCCACUUAGACCCUCUAACUGUAUUGAACUGUAUUGUUUUAAGGGGAAAAAACACUGCAUGUACACCCUCCCAAUUUCCACUGUACCGAAAGUGUGAGUCACUAUUGACAAAGACCAAUGAGAUGUCAUAGGGCGAUCUUGCCUGUGUAGUGCCUUACAGUUUUUAGGUGGAAGCU
rnacentral:lncRNA from 1 species